GGAGGUAAGGGUGAUCUGGCUGCAACAUCUGUCACCUCAUUGAUCGCCAGGGUUGAUUUAGCUGAUCUGAUUGGCUAGGCGGGUGUCCCCUUCCUCCCUCACAGCUCCAUGCGCAUUUCUCCCAAAGCUGCGUGCUCAGUUGAAGAGAAUGGCCUUCUCCAAAUAGACAGAGGAAUGAA
rnacentral:snRNA from 1 species